GUGAUGGAGGCUUCCACCUGAGCUGAACACAGAAACUUGCACACAGUGAUGGAAGCAGUCGUUCCUGUUCAGCAUUGAUAUGCCAGUAAUGGGUUUGAUGAGCCACAGCAUGGUGAUGGGCAAUCAGCAUCAGGACCAGGGCAGCUCACAAGGAGAACCUCCUGCCCUGCCUCGUCAUCCUCAACCUCCCAUCUCCCUGCUCUUCACACAUGUGCAGGCAUGGAGCCAGUUUUCAGAGGGAGGGCUGAUGACACCAGCAACUUUGGUUCUGAACCUGAUCAACCCAGCACCAACCACUGUGCCGCUCCUCCUCUGCCAACUGCACCACAUGGCUCCAACUGCACCACAUGGCUCCACCAUCUCAAAAAGGCACAGACACUACUCCACUUCCUGCAAAGGAUGAGAGAAGAGCCGACCGCCCCACAUCGGCACUCACCACCUUCUACAGGGGUGUCAUUGAGAGCAUCCUGACCAGCAGCCUCUCUGUCUGGCAUGGCAGCCGUCAAGCUGAAGACUAGAAGGCAGUACAGAGAGUGUGGUGAGAAUGGCAGAAAAGCUCAUAAGAUCACCCCUACCAGCAAUUCAGGAUCUGUACACUUCACACUGUUCCAAGAGGGCAAUGAACAUCAUAAAGACACAACUCAUCCAGCAUACAGACUGUUCUCCCUACUACCAUCAGGGAAGCGCAUGUGGUGCCGCACAAGCACACUGGGAAACGGCUUCUUCCCACAAGCCAUCAGACUCCUCAACGCACUGAAGAAAACCACAUGAAUAUUCCAAGGACACUGGAGAAUAUUCCAUGAACACUUCUUUCACCAUGCCACGUACACUUUACUCAUUGCACCUUAUAUACAGCAUCUUCACAUCA